rnacentral:rRNA from 1 species
GACGAACGCUGGCGGCGUGCCUAACACAUGCAAGUCGAGCGGGGUUGAAGCGAGGGGUAACUCGGACUUCUACCUAGCGGCGGACGGGUGAGUAACGCGUGGGCAACCUGCCUCAAGGUUUGGGAUAACAGCUCGAAAGGGCUGCUAAUACCGGAUAUGCCUGUGGCCUCGCAUGGGGCUAUGAGCAAAGGGGAAACCCGCCUUGAGAUGGGCCCGCGUCCCAUCAGCUAGUUGGUGAGGUGAAGGCUCACCAAGGCGACGACGGGUAGCCGGCCUGAGAGGGUGACCGGCCACACUGGGACUGAGACACGGCCCAGACUCCUACGGGGGCAGCAGUGGGGGAUCUUGCACAAUGGGCGAAAGCCUGAUGCAGCGACGCCGCGUGAGCGAAGAAGGCCUCGGUUGUAAAGACGUCUGUCUGAGGGACGAAGAAAAUAGACGGUACCGUCCGACGGAAGACCACGGCUAACUACGUAGCCAGCAGCCGCGGUAAAAUACAACGUGUA